rnacentral:tRNA from 1 species
UGCCCCAUGGUGUAAUGGCAACACAUCUGCUUUUGGUGCAGACGUUUCAGGUUCGAGUCCUGGUGGGGCAA